ACGCUCGACACCUACGGGGGGCAGCAGUGGGGAAUAUUGCACAAUGGGGGAAACCCUGAUGCAGCGACGCCGCGUGAAGGAAGAAGUAUCUCGGUAUGUAAACUUCUAUCAGCAGGGAAGAAAAUGACGGUACCUGACUAAGAAGCCCCGGCUAACUACGUGUCAGCAGCCGCGGUAAUCUGAGCGGGCUGGCAAGGC
rnacentral:rRNA from 1 species